AGAAUGUUAGUUACCAGAAGUUGGGAGGGGUGAGGGCGUUUGGGGAGAUGUUGGUAAAAGAAUACAAAAUUUCAACUAGAAAGAAGAAAUAAGUUCAAGAGAUACAUUGUACAACAUGGUGACUACAGUAAUAACAAUGUAUUAGAUUUUUUAAAAAAAGUAAGACAGUCAUGUUUAAGCCAAAUCCCAGAAUGUAGUUGUUGGGUGUUGGUGAUAUUUGACUAAGGCUUUCUUCAUGUCCUUGAUAGGCACAGGUAAUCAACAUAUCUGGAACACGUGCAUUCUGGGAAUAUUAAUUCUGAAAUGAAGUGUAUUAGUGACAGAACCACAAAGUAUUAAUCGGAACACUGGUUCACUCAGCUUAAGACUCUAUCAGCCUUCCUUGCAUAGGCCAUCUUUGAAGAAGUAAACAAGUACCAUACAAAAGGGAUGACAGAACAACGAAACAGAAGGCUUCCGAGGCGAUCCGGCAGCAUCAGUCUUCAGCCGCUAAGCCAAGAAGAUCUGGGAAGGAGUCAAUCAGAGAGCCUUGGGCCAGAGUUCCAGGGGCUGUGGAAGUGGCUGCCAGAGAUUUCCUUUGUGGUUCUCUUCCCUCUUCUCUUCCCUUCAAUUCAUCGAUGAGGCUGGUACCGGAAGCCUGGCCCUGAGUGUUCAUUCAGGUAAGUAGGGCUUCCGCCUCGAAAGGCUCGAGGUUGAGAUAGACAGACAGGACUCUCAGAGAAGGGAGAUAUGGAUAGAGUGAUUGAGGCUACUGCUUGGGCUUAAGAAGAAAUUUCUUCUUGGAUCUUUGGUGGUUUAUUUGUUUUCCUGUACUACUCACAUCAUCAGAGUGGUAAGAUUAAAAGCCAAAGUCAACAAAAUAGGAGAAAGUCCAGGGAAAAGCAGCUUAGGGAGUAAGGUAUUCAGCCUCCAGAAUAUGUGAAAGGCAUUGUGGAAUCUUGUGCUAUUAAGAUUACAAAAACAGAUUGCAAGCCGUGGUGUCUUAGUCCAUUAGAGCUGCUAUAACAAAAUACUAUAAACUGGGUGGCUUAUAAACAAGAGAAAUUUAUUUCUGUCAGUUUUGGUGGCUGAGAAGUCCAAGAUCAAGGUACCGGCAAAUUCAGUGUCUGGUGAGGGCUCAUUUCUCUCAUAGAAGCCUUCCAGCUGUGUCCAAGGAGCUCCCUGGGGUCUCUUUGUUAUGAGGGUGGAACCCUCAUAACAUCGUGACCCCCCAAAGGCCUCACUUCCUAAUACUAACACUUUGGAGAAGUAGGAUUUCAACAUAGGAAUUUUGGAGGGGCACAAAUAUUGAGACAAUAGCACCUGGCUACUGAUGAAGUCUGUCCUGUGUGUUUAUCUCCUUUUACCACUUCUGUGAUCAGAAGAAGACUGGGGGAGGAUUCUGACCUCAUAUUCGAGAUUAUCAUAUUCUCUUCGAUGAUGGAAAUAUUAGUCAUAUAAGUUGCCCUUUAUGUAGUUUUACAAAAUAUCCCUUUGGAAAGAACUAGAACACAUGAAAAGGUAGUGAGACUUGGUUUCUGUGUCACUAUACUCCAUGAAUGUGAUUAUUGAAACAGGUAUUCCUGAAGUCUUUUCCCACUUGGAGUAGGCAGCUACUGACUCUCAAGACGUGUGUGUUUUAUAGGUCUUGAGUAUUUGCAUACACGUCAAAAAUUAGGUCACAGGGAAAUGGCAUGAAAAGAACAAAAGCACAGUUUAAAUUUCCCAUAACCAGACCAAGCUAUCAAAACUAUUUUUUUAUUAUAAUCAGGUUAAGAGAUUAUAUGUUUUAAGAGUUUGGCAUUUUUUAAAAACAAGUGAGCAAAAUUAUGUAUUAAAAAUAAGAGACCACAGGUUAUAAAAGGAGGAUUAUCCUUAAAUAUAAAGAGCUUUUUAAAAAGUAUAAAUAAAUCAGGGUGUAUAUUAAGUAUUCAAUUUGCUUUGCAGCUUCUUGAACAAUUUAAAAGGGAACAUUUUGUGAAGAAAAGGAAAUUAGUGGUGAUUUCUUAAAAAAAUAAAAUUUAAAAGAUAUUUUCUGACAUUUUUGUCAUAUUUUGAAAGAAUUCUAUUUGUAUAAUAUUAAGUAUUUUAAUCCUCUUUGCUUAUUUUACAUUCCAUUUUUAACAAACUAGGCAAACAAUGUUUUUGUUAGUGGUAAUUAAUCUACACAUCCUGUUUGUGUUUUAAUUUAAACUGUUCUCAUGGAGUUAAGCAAUAUUUCUGUAAUUCCUGUUUUAGUUUAUGAGUGAGUCAGAAAAUAUUUACUAUGCACAAAUAGGUAUAAGAAUAACAAUUGUUGUAGUCCUUAAAUCAUCAAUCAUUGUCACCUACUGUAUUAGCCCAUUUUCACACUGCUAUAAAGUAUACCUGAGACUGGGUAAUUUAUAAAGGAAAGAGGUUUAAUUGACUCACAGUUCUGCAUACCUGGGGAGGCCUCAGGAAACUUACAAUCAUGGUGGAAGGCAAAGGGGAAGUGAGUACCUUCUUCAUGAUGUGGCAGGAGAGACAAAGAGAGACUGAGGAAGUGCUGCACUUUAAAACCAUCAGCUCUCUUGGUAACUUUCUUGCUAUCAGGAGAAUGGCAUGGGGAAAUCUGCUCUCAUCAUCCAUUCACCUCUCCACUACAAUUUGAGAUGAGAUUUGGGUGGGGACACAGAGCCAAAUCAUAUCACCUACACUUCAUGAAAAUCUUGUUAGUAUAAAUAUAUCAACACUUAAGCACUCUUUAUUAGUAUGACAUGUAUUUUUUAGUAUAGUAUGUAGACACAUAAUAAGGCAAAUAAUUGCUAUACUAAUACUAGCUAGCAUUUCUCUAACACUUUUUUGUAUGAUAGACAUUAUUCUAAAUGUUCUAGAUGUGUGAACCUAUUUAAUCCUCAAGGCAACUUAAUGAAAUAGUUAUGAUUAUUAUCUGGAUUUUGUGAUGAAGAAACUGAGCACAAAAAGUUUAAGCACUGGCUAAAAGUCAUGCAACUGUGUAAAAUCCCAUCAUUUUAUUUGCCAUACUUUAUUAUUUUCUAAAGUUGUUUUGAGCAUGCAUUAGAAGGGUGCUCAAAAUUAAAGUGUUAUUUUUAUAACAAUUUUUGUAAGUAAUAUAUAUCAAUUAUAUCACACAAAAUAUACUAAAUUUGCUUUCUAACAAUAAUACAACUUCCUAAAAUUAAGAAAAAUAAGGAAAUAAAAAACAAGUACUGCCAUGUGUCACUUAGUGAUGAGGAUACAUUCUGAGAAAUGCCUCGUUAGGCAAUUUCAUCACUGUACAAACAACAUAGUGUUACUUAUGCAAACCUAUUUGGUACAGCCUACUACACACCGAGGCUACAUGGUGUAUAUAAGUCUAUUGCUCCCAGACUACAAACCUGUACAGCAUGUUACUGUACUAAAUGCUAUAGGCAAUUAUAUCACAGUGGUAUUUGUAUACCUAAACAUAUGUAAACAUAGAAAAGUACAUUAAGUAUAAAGUAUAAAAGAUAAAAAAUGUUAUACCUCUAAUAGGGCACCUACCAUGAACAGACUUUACUGAACUUGAAGUUACUCUGGGUAAGUCAGUGAGUGACUACCGAGUGAAUAUGAAGGCGUGAGGUAUUACUGUACAAUACUGUAGACUUUAUAAACACUAUACAUUUAGGCUACACUAAAUUUAUUAAUAUUUUUAUUUAAUAAUAAAUUAACUUAGAUACCAUAACAUUUUUGUUUAUAAUUAACUUUUUAAACUUUUAACUCCUGUAAUAACAGCUUAAUACAUGAACACAUUGAUAGCUGUAGAAAAAUAUUUUCUUUCUUUAUGUCCUUUUAAGCUUUUUUCCAUUUUUAAUUUUACUUUUAAAACUGUUUUUGCUAAAAACUAGAAAACAAAAAUACACAUUAGCCUGAGACUACACAGGGUCAGGAUCAUCAAUACUACUGUCUUCCACCUCCAUAUCUUGUCCCACUGGAAAGUCUUCAGAGCCAAUAACGGGCAUGGAGCUGUCAUCUCCUUUGAUAACAAUGCCUUCUUCUGGAAACCUCCUGAAGUUCCUGCCUGAGGCUGUGGUACAGUUAAUGUUUUUCUUUUUAAUUAGUAGAAGUACACUCU